GGGUGAGUAAUAUAUCGGAACGUACCAUUCAGUGGGGGAUAACGUAGCGAAAGUUACGCUAAUACCGCAUAUUCUGUGAGCAGGAAAGCAGGGGAUCGCAAGACCUUGCGCUGAUUGAGCGGCCGAUAUCAGAUUAGCUUGUUGGUGAGGUAAAAGCUCACCAAGGCGACGAUCUGUAGCGGGUCUGAGAGGAUGAUCCGCCACACUGGAACUGAGACACGGUCCAGACUCCUACGGGAGGCAGCAGUGGGGAAUUUUGGACAAUGGGGGCAACCCUGAUCCAGCCAUGCCGCGUGUGUGAAGAAGGCCUUCGGGUUGUAAAGCUCUUUCAGCCGGGAAGAAAACGCAUGGGUUAAUACCCUGUGUGGAUGACGGUACCGGAAUAAAGCACCGGCUAACUACGUGCCAGCAGCCGCGGUAAUACGUAGGGUGCGAGCGUUAAUCGGAAUUACUGGGCGUAAAGCGUGCGCAGGCGGUUUUGUAAGACAGGCGUGAAAUCCCCGGGCUUAACCUGGGAACUGCGUUUGUGACUGCAAGGCUAGAGUACGGCAGAGGGGGGUGGAAUUCCACGUGUAGCAGUGAAAUGCGUAGAGAUGUGGAGGAACACCAAUGGCGAAGGCAGCCCCCUGGGUCGAUACUGACGCUCAUGCACGAAAGCGUGGGUAGCAAACAGGAUUAGAUACCCUGGUAGUCCACGCCCUAAACGAUGUCAACUAGGUGUUGGGAGGGUAAAACCUUUUAGUACCGGAGUUAACGCGUGAAGUUGACCGCCUGGGGAGUACGGCCGCAAGGUUAAAACUCAAAGGAAUUGACGGGGACCCGCACAAGCGGUGGAUGAUGUGGAUUAAUUCGAUGCAACGCGAAAAACCUUACCUACCCUUGACAUGCCAAGAACUUUCCAGAGAUGGAUUGGUGCCCGAAAGGGAACUUGGACACAGGUGCUGCAUGGCUGUCGUCAGCUCGUGUCGUGAGAUGUUGGGUUAAGUCCCGCAACGAGCGCAACCCUUGUCGUUAAUUGCCAUCAUUUAGUUGGGCACUUUAACGAGACUGCCGGUGACAAACCGGAGGAAGGUGGGGAUGACGUCAAGUCCUCAUGGCCCUUAUGGGUAGGGCUUCACACGUCAUACAAUGGUCGGUACAAAGGGUCGCCAAGCCGCGAGGUGGAGCCAAUCCCAGAAAGCCGAUCGUAGUCCGGAUCGCAGUCUGCAACUCGACUGCGUGAAGUCGGAAUCGCUAGUAAUCGUGGAUCAGAAUGUCACGGCGAAUACGUUCCCGGGUCUUGUACACACCGCCCGUCACACCAUGGGAGCGGGUUCCGCCAGAAGUAGGUAGCCUAACCGCCGGGAAGGCGCUGACCACGGUGUGGUCAAUGACUGGGGUGAAGUCGUAACAAGGUA
rnacentral:rRNA from 1 species